rnacentral:rRNA from 1 species
GUCUAUGCAGUCAAAGAUGAAUGUUAAUAUUGAGAAAUUCUUGGUAUAUAGUUAAUACGUUAAACAUUCCACCUGGGAAGUACGAUCGCAAGAUUGGAACUCAAAAGAAUUGACGGGGGUCUACACAAGUGGUGGAGCAUGUGGUUUAAUGCGAUAAUACGCGCGAAAUCUUACCAGUUUUUGAAUAUAUUCUGAAAAUUUUUUAUCUUUAUUUUUAUAAAAAUAUAAUUAUUAUUUUGUCUUAAGAAUAUACAGGUGUUGCAUGGCUGUCGU